AACACAAGUGGUGCUUAAAAUUCUAAACAUGUUAUAAGAGGAAUUUCGAUAAUUGCUGCUUCGAGGAAUCAAGUAUUGUUGGAUCUGGGCCUGACCCAAUGUUAGAUCUCCUCGGCGACAACAAUAGUGUCCCUUUCACCUUGAUGAAGCAAUGGAGAGGUGGUCACUGGUCAAGGUCAAGAACAUUAGCAAAGAGGAGGGGAAAAUGGAAGUGUUGAGGGAAAUCGAGCAGGAGCAGCAUAGAAGGCACAAAACACCUUUUAACUUUUCCUGGAAUUUUACAUAUUGGUUUUCUCUGUCAAGCUUAGAUGGUUGUGUUAUGAAUGAUUCUGUUCUCUAUCUGUGCCUAUUAGUAUAUUUAAGGGGUUUGAUUGUAAGACAUUUUAUUGAGAAUUUGAUGCUGACCGACAUGAAAGUAGUAUUGGCCAAGUGGGUUUUUGUAGUUCUUUUUUAUUUACUUCACUUUUCAAUUUUGGCAUCAAGUUAAUUCUGUAUUAGAUAGAAAAGUAAACACUAUGAUAUGAAGAAGAAGAUGUUCCAAAUUAUGUAUAGGCCUAACUAUUGAAACUCGCAUAAAACCUCUCCUGUGCAAGCAAGAACACUGGACACUGGACAAAUAGGAAACUAAUUAAGAGACAUUUUUAGCUUCUGAGGAGUAUUAUUCAUUUUGUUAUCUCGGUUUUGGUUCUUCAUAGUUCAUGCUAUGGUCACACUGAUCAGUCUAAUAUUGAAAGAUCAUGGAUGCUUUGAUCUCAAAACUAAAGGACAUUGUACCCCUACUCUUUUCCCAACUCGAAGUUCAAAUGACUUAAUCAAUGUUCUGAGAAUCGGUAGGUCCAUCAACCCUUCAUGCUUUUCCAUUUGGUCUGCCACUCAGUAAUAGGUUAUAUAGAUGUACUGUAUUUGGUAUGUUCACUUCAAAUGUGGAAGAUUAUUGAGUGGAGUGCAAUUAUUGGCACAUAAUGCAUGGAGUAAUUACUUUCUAUUAACACACUUUGGUGAUCGGUUAAAUCUGACACAUGGAUUUGUUUCAUGGGUUUAGACAUCUUGAUAGAUAUAUAAAUGCUAUUAUUAGCAUGUUAUGAUUCCAAUUACAUCCUGGUUCCUUUGCUCUCUGAGUAGUGGUUUUGCUUCAACAAUGUUGCCUGCAUUUAAUUUCUGGUGCUUUUAUACUUGCAAUUUUUUUGCCAUGUUGCUUGUUGAGGAAAUGUCUUAGGUUCAAUUCCUGUCAUAUAUGUUUUAAUUUUCCAGGACAUGCAACUAAGCUUUUCAGAAGAGCCUGCUAGAUUUUCAGUAUAGAGUUCUUGACUCUGAGAUGGGAUGCUAGAGCAUCAUCCAGCUGGUCUAGUGUUAACUUUUUGAGGAAUAGCUAAUGAUUCACCAAGUAUUGGUGUUAUACAGCUUCACACCCGGGAAUUUUUCUCGGUGGACAACCCUUUUUUUUUAAUAACAACAAAACUAAGUUCCCAAAGGGCUGUCUGCACAGUUUGAUGGGGAUAGAGUUUGUUGAACUAUGAGCUGUGCAACGGGGACAGCCUUCCUCCCUCAGUCCAUCCCAUCCCUUGUCAGUGGGAUUUGAUCUUAGAUGGCUUGCAUUGAUGCCGAGUGACAUGAGUUAGCAAACCUUGCUAGCACCUACUGCACAAUUUCCUGAGGAUGCAUUCACAAUUGCCGUCAUCUCUGUGGUCUAGUUGCUCUGUGAGUUUUGAAUCUUCAGAUGUGGGGAUGUAUAUGUCGGCGUUGGGUCCAGUUUUUGAAUAAUUCUGAUUUUACUUCCAUUCCAUUCUGUAUGAUUUGAGUUUGUGACUACGAACCUCUUUGGGAACAUAGUUGCACUUGCGGUGUGAUGCAACUUGCGUUCCCAAACAAAGCUAAGGUUUAUUUUGAGAUUUUAUUUAAAUUGUUCAUGCUGUAAUUAAUUGGUUAAAUUCUGUUUUUUUUCUUCAUCUAUUUAUAAAAAAGCUAGUUUUCUUGCCA